CCUGCCUGAGGAGGCUUCGGUUGGACGCGAAGGAGCUGCAGCAUCCAGUUCUAGAGGCUGGGAAGUCCAGGAUCAAGAUGCCAGCAGAUCCAGUGCAUCAUGAGGAUACACCUCCUGGUUUGCAGAUGGUCGUCUUGCCGUGUCCUCACAUGGCAGAAAGAGGAAGCAAGCUCUCCUUGUUUGUCUUAUAAGGGCACUAAUCCCAUCACGAGAGGUCCACCCUCAGAACCUAAUGACCCCCUAAAGAGCCCACCUAAUGCUGUCCCACUGGGGGUUAGGAUUUUGACAUUGGAAUUUUGAGGAGGACACAAACAUGCAGUCCAUAACACAUUCCCUCCCAUGAUAUGCAAGACCUCUUUUUUUUUUGAGGUGGGGUCUCCUCUCCGUUGCCCAGGCUGGAGGGCAGUGGCAUGAUCAUAGCUCACUGCAGCCUCAACCUCCUGGGCUCAAGUGAUCCUGCCG
rnacentral:antisense_RNA from 1 species